rnacentral:rRNA from 1 species
GACGAACGCUGGCGGCGUGCCUAAUACAUGCAAGUCGAACGCAGUUUCGAACGCGUGAGUAACACGUCGGUAACUGCCUCAUAGCGGGGGAUAACUAUUUGAAACGAUAGCUAAUACCGCAUACUGUUAGAUAGACCUGCGUUGUAUUAGGUAGGUGGUGAGGUAAAGGCUCACCAAGGCGCCGAUACAUAGCCGACCUGGGAGGGUGAACGGGCAACACGGGACUGAGGCACGGGACAGACUCCCAAGGGAAGCAGCAGGAGGGAAUCAUCGGCAAAGGGGGGAAGUCUGGCCGAAGAACGCCGCGGGAGUGGAGAAGGGUUUCGGAUUGGAAAGCGCUGUUGUUAGAGAAGCGGUAACUAAAGAGAAAGGGACGGCUAACUACGUGCCAGCCGCCGCGGUAAUUC